CCUUCGGUAGCUCAGCGGGUAGAGCGGAGGACUGUAGAUCCUUAGGUCGCUGGUUCGAUUCCGGCUCGAAGGA
rnacentral:tRNA from 1 species